rnacentral:tRNA from 1 species
GGCCCCAUAGUCUAGCCUGGAUACAAAUUGAUUUGCCAGUGAGGACGAUUGGCUUCGGACCAAUAAACCCCGGUUCGAAUCCGGGUGGGGUCA